rnacentral:rRNA from 1 species
AAAUGAAUAGACGGGGGCCCGCACAAGCGGUGGAGCAUGUGGUUUAAUUCGAUGCAACGCGAAAAACCUUACCUACCCUUGACAUCCUUGGAACCCUGUAGAGAUACGGGGGUGCUUCGGCACCAAGAGACAGGUGCUGCAUGGCUGUCGUCAGCUCGUGUCGUGAGAUGUUGGGUUAAGUCCCGUAACGAGCGCAACCCCUAUACUUAGUUGCCACUGCGUAAGCAAGCACUUUAAGUAGACUGCCGGUGACAAACCGGAGGAAGGUGGGGAUGAUGUCAAGUCAUCAUGGCCCUUAUGGGUAGGGCUACACACGUGCUACAAUGGGCAGUACAGAGGGCGUUGAAACCGCGAGGUGGAACAAAUCCCAAAAAACUGUUCGUAGUCCGGAUUGGAGUCUGCAACUCGACUCCAUGAAGUUGGAAUCGCUAGUAAUCGCAAAUCAGCAUGUUGCGGUGAAUACGUUCCCGGGCCUUGUACACACCGCCCGU